rnacentral:rRNA from 1 species
AUUGAACGCUGGCGGCAUGCCUUACACAUGCAAGUCGAACGGUAACAGGUCUUCGGAUGCUGACGAGUGGCGAACGGGUGAGUAAUACAUCGGAACGUGCCCGAGAGUGGGGGAUAACGAAGCGAAAGCUUUGCUAAUACCGCAUACGAUCUCAGGAUGAAAGCAGGGGACCGCAAGGCCUUGCGCUCACGGAGCGGCCGAUGGCAGAUUAGGUAGUUGGUGGGGUAAAGGCUUACCAAGCCUACGAUCUGUAGCUGGUCUGAGAGGACGACCAGCCACACUGGGACUGAGACACGGCCCAGACUCCUACGGGAGGCAGCAGUGGGGAAUUUUGGACAAUGGGCGAAAGCCUGAUCCAGCCAUGCCGCGUGCAGGAUGAAGGCCUUCGGGUUGUAAACUGCUUUUGUACGGAACGAAAAGCUCUGGGUUAAUACCCUGGGGUCAUGACGGUACCGUAAGAAUAAGCACCGGCUAACUACGUGCCAGCCGCCGCGGUAAGAC